rnacentral:rRNA from 1 species
AGCGUUCUGUAAGCCUGUGAAGGUGUGUCGUGAGGCAUGCUGGAGGUAUCAGAAGUGCGAAUGCUGACAUAAGUAACGAUAAAGCGGGUGAAAAGCCCGCUCGCCGGAAGACCAAGGGUUCCUGUCCAACGUUAAUCGGGGCAGGGUGAGUCGACCCCUAAGGCGAGGCCGAAAGGCGUAGUCGAUGGGAAACGGGUUAAUAUUCCCGUACUUGGUGUUACUGCGAAGGGGGGACGGAGAAGGCUAUGUUGGCCGGGCGACGGUUGUCCCGGUUUAAGCGUGUAGGUGUGUGUUCCAGGUAAAUCCGGUUCACUUUAACACUGAGGCGUGAUGACGAGGCACUACGGUGCUGAAGCAACAAAUGCCCUGCUUCCAGGAAAAGCCUCUAAGCAUCAGGUAACAUCAAAUCGUACCCCAAACCGACACAGGUGGUCAGGUAGAGAAUACCAAGGCGCUUGAGAGAACUCGGGUGAAGGAACUAGGCAAAAUGGUGCCGUAACUUCGGGAGAAGGCACGCUGACACGUAGGUGAAGUGAUUUACUCACGGAGCUGAAGUCAGUCGAAGAUACCAGCUGGCUGCAACUGUUUAUUAAAAACACAGCACUGUGCAAACACGAAAGUGGACGUAUACGGUGUGACGCCUGCCCGGUGCCGGAAGGUUAAUUGAUGGGGUCAGCGCAAGCGAAGCUCCUGAUCGAAGCCCCGGUAAACGGCGGCCGUAACUAUAACGGUCCUAAGGUAGCGAAAUUCCUUGUCGGGUAAGUUCCGACCUGCACGAAUGGCGUAAUGAUGGCCAGGCUGUCUCCACCCGAGACUCAGUGAAAUUGAACUCGCUGUGAAGAUGCAGUGUACCCGCGGCAAGACGGAAAGACCCCGUGAACCUUUACUAUAGCUUGACACUGAACAUUGAGCCUUGAUGUGUAGGAUAGGUGGGAGGCUUUGAAGUGUGGACGCCAGUCUGCAUGGAGCCGACCUUGAAAUACCACCCUUUAAUGUUUGAUGUUCUAACGUGGACCCGUAAUCCGGGUUGCGGACAGUGUCUGGUGGGUAGUUUGACUGGGGCGGUCUCCUCCUAAAGAGUAACGGAGGAGCACGAAGGUUGGCUAAUCCUGGUCGGACAUCAGGAGGUUAGUGCAAUGGCAUAAGCCAGCUUGACUGCGAGCGUGACGGCGCGAGCAGGUGCGAAAGCAGGUCAUAGUGAUCCGGUGGUUCUGAAUGGAAGGGCCAUCGCUCAACGGAUAAAAGGUACUCCGGGGAUAACAGGCUGAUACCGCCCAAGAGUUCAUAUCGACGGCGGUGUUUGGCACCUCGAUGUCGGCUCAUCACAUCCUGGGGCUGAAGUAGGUCCCAAGGGUAUGGCUGUUCGCCAUUUAAAGUGGUACGCGAGCUGGGUUUAGAACGUCGUGAGACAGUUCGGUCCCUAUCUGCCGUGGGCGCUGGAGAACUGAGGGGGGCUGCUCCUAGUACGAGAGGACCGGAGUGGACGCAUCACUGGUGUU